AUGUGACAUAAUCAGAUGCACUUUUUGUAUGAUGACAAACUUAUCUGGAUUGGACCAAGUGGUGUUAUUUGAGUUUCGACCGUCGGAUUUAGGAUAUAUAUCAUUGACAUGUGUUUGUCGUCAUUCAACGUGACCACAACCCGAACGUGAUCGGGUCUUUUAGAGGAGUGAAGAGGACAGUGGAGGCGACGAGGAAGCCGAGCAUCAGGCCCACCACCACCACGCACGCCAUCACGGAACCAAAGCGCCACCAGCUCAUCACCAGGAGGACGCCGCCCACCACGCCGAUCACCGCCGACACGGCCAGACGGACUGUGACAGAGUGAAAAGGUUUCAUUUCCUACCAAGAGUUUGGCAGCUGUCCAUCUUGGAGUUGAAAGUGCAGGCAUACGUGUGCACCGGGACGUAAGAGGCCGACGUGUUGAGGACGGGGUCUCGAACGACGACGGAGUAGAUG